rfam:Chlorocebus sabaeus isolate 1994-021 chromosome 2, whole genome shotgun sequence.
GAAAAAGUUGCAGAGGUUGCAGGGUUGGCUUGAAAUCAGUUUUAGGAGGUUCGAUUCCUUCCUUUUUCG